rnacentral:lncRNA from 1 species
GGGUAUGCAUGAAAAAUCAUUCAAAAUGCAAAAUCGAUUCGAACCGUUAAUUUCAAUUUGGUUUGGAUCGAUUUUUUUCAAAUUUGAUUUGAUUUCAAUUUUAGUUUAGCAAAAUCCGAUUUAAACUGAACCAAUCAAUGAAAUUGAUUUGAUUUUAAUUUUGAUUAAGAAAAAAACUGAUUCAAACUGAAUUGACCCAUAAAUGUGUGUAGGGGUAUUCACUAAAUGGUUCAAAUCAUUAAACCAAACUAG